rnacentral:sRNA from 1 species
UCUAAGUAUUGAAUCUUUGUAAGAAGAUACAAAGACAAAGACUCAUACGGACUUCGACUACACUAUCAAAGCUUUGAGAAGCAAGAAGAAGCUUGGUUAGUGUUUUGGAUUCGAAUAUGACUUGAUGUCAUGUGUAUGACUCAGUAUAAACACUAGAACCGCAACGGAUCUUAAAAGCAUAAGUAUUGUAUCAUUGUUAGAAGAUACAAUGACGAAGACUCAUACGAACUUCGACUACACCAUCAAAGCUUUGAGAAGCAAGAAGCAGUUGGUUAGUGUUUUGGAGUCGAAUAUGACUUGAUGGCAUGUGUAUGAGUGAGUAUAAAAACUAGAACCGCAACGGAUCUUAAAAGCCUAAAUAUUGUAUCCUUGUUAGAAGAUACAUAGACAAAGUCUCAUACGGAAUUCGGCUAAACCAUCAAAGCUUUUAGAAGCAAGAAGAAGCUUGGUUAGUGUUUUGGAGUGAAAUCUAACUAGAUGUCAUGUGUAUGAGUGAGUAUACCAACUAGAACCACAAUUGGAAUUUUAAAAGCCUAAGUAUUAUAUCCUUGUUAGAAGAUACAAAGACAAACACUCAUACGGACUUUGGCUACACCAUCAAAGCUUUGAGAAGCAAGAAGAAGCUUGGUUAGUGUUUUGGAGUCGAAUAUGACUUGAUGUGAUGUGUAUGAUUGAGUAUAAGAAAUUAAACCGCAACCGGUUCUUAAAAGCUU